rnacentral:rRNA from 1 species
AUUGAACGCUGGCGGCAGGCCUAACACAUGCAAGUCGAGCGGAUGAAGGGAGCUUGCUCCUGGAUUCAGCGGCGGACGGGUGAGUAAUGCCUAGGAAUCUGCCUGGUAGUGGGGGAUAACGUCCGGAAACGGGCGCUAAUACCGCAUACGUCCUGAGGGAGAAAGUGGGGGAUCUUCGGACCUCACGCUAUCAGAUGAGCCUAGGUCGGAUUAGCUAGUUGGUGGGGUAAAGGCCUACCAAGGCGACGAUCCGUAACUGGUCUGAGAGGAUGAUCAGUCACACGGGAAAUGAGACACGGUCCAGACUCCUACGGGAGGCAGCAGUGGGGAAUAUUGGACAAUGGGCGAAAGCCUGAUCCAGCCAUGGCGCGUGUGUGAAGAAGGUCUUCGGAUUGUAAAGCACUUUAAGUUGGGAGGAAGGGCAGUAAGUUAAUACCUUGCUGUUUUGACGUUACCAACAGAAUGAGCACCGGCUAACUUCGU